rnacentral:rRNA from 1 species
UACAGAGGUCUCAAGCGUUGUUCGGAUUCAUUGGGCGUAAAGGGUGCGUAGGCGGCGCGGUAAGUCGGGUGUGAAAUCUCGGAGCUUAACUCCGAAACUGCAUUCGAUACUGCCGUGCUUGAGGACUGGAGAGGAGACUGGAAUUUACGGUGUAGCAGUGAAAUGCGUAGAGAUCGUAAGGAAGACCAGUGGCGAAGGCGGGUCUCCGGACAGUUCCUGACACUGAGGCACGAAGGCCAGGGGAGCAAACGGG